UACGUAGGCGGAUCAAUCAGUCAGAGGUGAAAUCCUGCAGCUUAACUGUAGAACUGCCUUUGAUACUGUUGAUCUUGAGUCAUUAUGAAGUGGUUAGAAUGUGUAGUGUAGCGGUGAAAUGCAUAGAUAUUACACAGAAUACCGAUUGCGAAGGCAGAUCACUAAUAAUGUACUGACACUGAGGGACGAAAGCGUGGGGAGCGAACAGGAUUAGAUACCCUGGUAGUCC
rnacentral:rRNA from 1 species